AACGAACGCUGGCGGCGCUCUUAAGCAUGCAAGUCGAACGGCAAGAGAGAAGCUUGCUUCUCUCCUAGAGUGGCGGACUGGUGAGGAACACGUGGGUAAUCUACCCUUAAGAUGGGGAUAGCUGCUAGAAAUAGCAGGUAAUACCGAAUACACUCAGUUUUUCAUAAGAAGGAUUGAGGAAAGGAAGCUACGGCUUCGCUUGAGGAUGAGCUUGCGUCCCAUUAGCUUGUUGGUGAGGUAACGCCCACCAAGGCGACGAUGGGUAUCCGGCCUGAGAGGGUGAUCGGACACAUUGGGACUGAGAUACGGCCCAAACUCCUACGGGAGGCAGCAGCUAAGAAUAUUCCGCAAUGGACGAAAGUCUGACGGAGCGACGCCGCUGGAUGAAGAAGGCUGAAAAGUUGUAAAAUCCUUUUGUUGAUGAAGAAUAAGGGUGAGAGGGAAUGUUCAUCUGAUGACGGUAAUCAGCGAAUAAGCCCCG
rnacentral:rRNA from 1 species